GUGAAUCAUCGAAUCUUUGAACGCAAAUUGCACUCUCUGGUAUUCCGGAGAGUAUGCCUGUUUGAGGGUCAGUUUAAAUAAAAAUCGGUGUUGUUGCUGCCUUUCGUUGUGACGCACCGGAUUUAGGUCGUCUUGCCUUCGGUUAAGUUAUCUAAAAUGUUGCAUGAUUUUUUUCGAACGUAUUUAAGUGAUUUUACGUACGUUUGCGAUAGCGAAUACUAGGGGUUGGCAUCUGCAUGGUUUGCGCCU
rnacentral:misc_RNA from 1 species